UGUUUUAUAGCAGUGGAAAGAAAUUCUUCUAGAGUUUUGUUUCAGAUUUCCUUUCUUUUACGUGGUUCUUCCUUGAUCGUGUCCUCAAAACAACUGGGCAACCCUUUUAUUUUAUUUUUAUGGCUUCUCGUGGUAUGGCAGAAUUUGUUAUUGCUAUUCUUUGAUGUUGAAUAUUGACAUUGAUGGUGUAAUCGAGCUAGGUUGAGUCAGUUUAUUACCUGAACUCUAAUCAAUGUGAAAACUCAAGGUUCGAAACUGACUCAACCUAGCUCGAUUACACC
rnacentral:misc_RNA from 1 species